rnacentral:rRNA from 1 species
GUGUCAGCAGCCGCGGUAAAACGUAGGUACCGAGCGUUAUCCGGAUUUACUGGGCGUAAAGCGCGUUCAGGCGGUCUGACAAGUCGGGCAUGAAAUCCUUCGGCUCAACCGGGGGAGGUUGUCCGAUACUGCCGGACUGGAGGGCAGUAGAGGGUGGUGGAAUUCCGGGUGUAGUGGUGAAAUGCGUAGAGAUCCGGAGGAACACCAGUGGCGAAAGCGGCCACCUGGACUGUACCUGACGCUGAAACGCGAAAGCUAGGGGAGCGAACGGGAUUAGAAACCCCGGUAGUCCUAGCUAUAAACGAUGUCGACUAGGUGUUGGCGGUCUAAACCCCGCCAGUGCCGCAGCCAACGCAAUAAGUCGACCGCCUGGGGACUACGGCCGCAAGGUUAAA